UACGAAGGGGGCUAGCGUUGCUCGGAAUCACUGGGCGUAAAGCGCACGUAGGCGGAUUGUUAAGUCAGGGGUGAAAUCCUGGAGCUCAACUCCAGAACUGCCUUUGAUACUGAAGAUCUUGAGUUCGGGAGAGGUGAGUGGAGCUGCGAGUGUAGAGGUGAAAUUCGUAGAUAUUCGGAAGAACACCAGUGGCGAAGGCGGCUCACUGGCCCGGUACUGACGCUGAGGUGCGAAAGCGUGGGGAGCAAACAGG
rnacentral:rRNA from 1 species